rnacentral:rRNA from 1 species
GACGAACGCUGGCGGCGUGCCUAAUACAUGCAAGUAGAACGCUGAAGAGAGGAGCUUGCUCUUCUUGGAUGAGUUGCGAACGGGUGAGUAACGCGUAGGUAACCUGCCUUGUAGCGGGGGAUAACUAUUGGAAACGAUAGCUAAUACCGCAUAACAAUGGAUGACACAUGUCAUUUAUUUGAAAGGGGCAAUUGCUCCACUACAAGAUGGACCUGCGUUGUAUUAGCUAGUAGGUGAGGUAAUGGCUCACCUAGGCGACGAUACAUAGCCGACCUGAGAGGGUGGUCGGCCACACUGGGACUGAGACACGGCCCAGACUCCUACGGGAGGCAGCAGGAGGGAAUCUUCGGCAAUAGGGGCAACCCUGACCGAGCAACGCCGCGUGAGUGAAGAAGGUUGUCGGAUCGUAAAGCUCUGUUGUAAGUCAAGAACGGGUGUGAGAGUGGAAAGUUCACACUGUGACGGUAGCUUACCAGAAAGGGACGGCUAACUACGUG